rnacentral:lncRNA from 7 species
AGGGUGCUGCUGUCCGGGUGGUAUCGCGCGGGUAACGAGAAGUGCAGAACAAAGGGUUUCUGCCGAAGGUUUACGCCACGCUGAACGCGCAGAACAACGCAGCGAUACUCCCCAACCGCGUGGCUCUCACGCCCGCUUUGUUCUGUGCGCGGCUGCGCGGAGCUGCUCUGAGCGCGGCGGCACCUGUGCGGGUGGGGUGCGCGGGGCUGCCCCUCCGCGCUGCUCGACGGUGGAGGGCCGGCGUGCUGGCACAGCUGCACGGGGAGAUAGCUUUGGCGCCAUCGUUUAGGCUGUGUUUGCUGAGAAUGCUAUUUCACUCCACCGAUAGUUUGAGUGUGUUUUAUUCCUGAGGUUUAUGCUGCGGUCGUAAGCAUUACGUGUCUCGUGAUUUGCUGGGUUGUGCAGCCCUGUCCUCAACUAUAUACGCUUGUGUUUACAGCAGUACAGGAAUUUCAACGGGAGGAAGCCUCUGUUCAGAACUGGAUCUGUUACAGGACAUUGUGACGUUACUGCAGAAACACUGAUACUUGACUGAGAAUAGCAAGGAUGGGAAGUCAACUCUUAGCAGCGAGUACUGAUGCCCUGUCAGAUCCAGCGCUAAUCUCAUCUUGCUCUGCAGUGCGCUUCCCACUGUGGCCGUACUGCUGGCCGGCCUGCCACCAGGAAUCUCGUUUGUCUGACCUACUGCUACACAACUGGAGACAUGUCCAAGAAGGAUCCAGAAGUGCCUACCCUUAGUGCCCUGAAGAUACUUUGGAUGGGGCAGCUUCACAGUAUUGCGUAGAGAUUUGCAUCUGGAAUUGAGAUCAGGUUUUGGAGCAAUGUGCUACGCAGUUAACUUUCAGUCAUAAGCUAGGGACAAGUAUCAAUUAAAGAACUUUCUG